rnacentral:lncRNA from 1 species
UUCCCUCUGCUUUCAUAUGUAAGACGGGUUGCUCAAUCCCUCCCAUUCCAGAGUGCUGGCAACCAUCCGCUUCAAAAGUACAAGCCCUGUGCCACUAGUUCCCCUCUGCUUCCGUAAGUUCCAUGUCAAAAAUCCCAUAUUACACAUACCAUGCCAAUUUUUCCCUAUAAGCCAUCAUCUCCCCCAUUCAAUAGUGCAGACAACCAUCCACUUCGAAAGAACAAGCCUUCAAAAGUACAAGCCUAUCACAAUUUCCUUCUGCUUCCUUAAAAUUUCGGGUCGGGUCCCAUCCAUGUCGAAAAUCCCAUAUUACACAUACCAUGCCACUUUUUCGAGAAAAACCAUUCAUCUCCCCAAUGCCAACUCCACAUCCAACAUAACCAUGACUUUAACUUGUAGCACCACCACAGAAAACUAAGCACACUCAUCACAACCCAAGACUACCAACCAAUUUAUUCAUUCUAUAUACAAUCUAAACCUAUUUACAGGAGCCUAGUGCUCCCAUCUGCCCUUCAUUCAUCGUCUACAUCAAGAUUCAGAAUGCGACGCAGAGUCUUGGUCGCGGAAUCAGCAUUGUGAAAGAGAUCUCUAGCAGAAGACCCAGAAUACUCCCUAGUUGGGGAUGCGGGUGUAGACUUGGCAAUUGGGUGGUGCAUUUCGAUAUCAGCGGGCGACUUGGGCAAUUCGAGCGACACGGUUCUCUUGGGUCGGAUUGAAAACUUGGGGAUUGGCAAUGAACUCGGUGGGGGAGAGUU